GCUUGAAUGGCUCAGCUGGUUAGAGCGCCGGUCUCAUAUAUAUGAGUAAGCAUUGCUUACGUAAUCCGGAGAUCAUGAGUUCGAUCCUCAUUUCGAGCA